rnacentral:tRNA from 1 species
CUUUUGAUAGCUUAAUUUUAAAGCUUUAGAUUUUUACUCUGAUUAUGGAAUUUUCCUCAUUGGG